UACGUAGGUGACAAGCGUUGUCCGGAUUUACUGGGCGUAAAGAGCGCGCAGGCGGUCGUUCAAGUCGAGUGUGAAAGCCCCCGGCUCAACUGGGGAGGGUCACUCGAUACUGAUCGACUCGAAGGCAGGAGAGGGUAGUGGAAUUCCCGGUGUAGUGGUGAAAUGCGUAGGUAUCGGGAGGAACACCAGUGGCGAAGGCGACUACCUGGCCCAUUCUUGACGCUG
rnacentral:rRNA from 1 species